UUUGACCUCAAAUCAGGUAGGACUACCCGCUGAACUUAAGCAUAUCAAUAAGCGGAGGAAAAGAAACCAACAGGGAUUGCCUCAGUAGCGGCGAGUGAAGCGGCAAAAGCUCAAAUUUGAAAUCUGGCGUCUUUGGCGUCCGAGUUGUAAUUUGAAGAAGGUAUCUUUGGGCCC
rnacentral:rRNA from 1 species